rnacentral:rRNA from 1 species
GUACACUCCUGCGGGAGGCAGCAGUGGGGAAUUUUGGACAAUGGGCGAAAGCCUGAUCCAGCAAUGCCGCGUGUGUGAAGAAGGCCUUCGGGUUGUAAAGCACUUUUGUCCGGAAAGAAAUCCUUGGCUCUAAUACAGUCGGGGGAUGACGGUACCGGAAGAAUAAGCACCGGCUAACUACGUGCCAGCAGCCGCGGUAAUACGUAGGGUGCGAGCGUUAAUCGGAAUUACUGGGCGUAAAGCGUGCGCAGGCGGUUUGCUAAGACCGAUGUGAAAUCCCCGGGCUCAACCUGGGAACUGCAUUGGUGACUGGCAGGCUAGAGUAUGGCAGAGGGGGGUAGAAUUCCACGUGUAGCAGUGAAAUGCGUAGAGAUGUGGAGGAAUACCGAUGGCGAAGGCAGCCCCCUGGGCCAAUACUGACGCUCAUGCACGAAAGCGUGGGGAGCAAACAGGAUUAGAUACCCGAGUAGUCCCAUGA